GACGAACCACACAAACGUUAUUCGGAAUUACUGGGCUUAAAGGGUGCGUAGGCGGCGCGGAAAGUUGGGUGUGAAUCCCUCGGCUCACCGAGGAACUGCGCUCAAUACUACCGUGCUCGAGGGAGACAGAGGUGAGCGGAACUUAGGGUGGAGCGGUGAAAUGCGUUGAUAUCCUAAGGAACACCCGUGGCGAAAGCGGCUCACUGGGUCUCUUCUGACGCUGAGGCACGAAAGCUAGGGUAGCGACGGG
rnacentral:rRNA from 1 species